rnacentral:lncRNA from 1 species
UUGCUCGCAGUCCCGAUGCGCGUAGCUCCGAUCUAGCACGCGUAAGCCUUUCCAAUCUAGCAAAAUUCAACAAAAAUUAUACUUGGGAUCGCCCGGGUCCAUCCAGUGCUCCUCCAAGACAACAUCAAAGCUGGAAUUUCGCUCUCUAUCACUGUGAGUAAUAAUAAAUAAUGCAUGUCAACACUGCAUUUGCAUAACAUUACAUUUUUAUAUAUUUACAUAUUGUAUUUUCUCANNN